GACGAACGCUGGCGGCGUGCCUAAUACAUGCAAGUUGAGCGCUGAAGGUUGGUACUUGUACCAACUGGAUGAGCAGCGAACGGGUGAGUAACGCGUGGGGAAUCUGCCUUUGAGCGGGGGACAACAUUUGGAAACGAAUGCUAAUACCGCAUAAAAACUUUAAACACAAGUUUUAAGUUUGAAAGAUGCAAUUGCAUCACUCAAAGAUGAUCCCGCGUUGUAUUAGCUAGUUGGUGAGGUAAAGGCUCACCAAGGCGAAGAUACAUAGCCGACCUGAGAGGGUGAUCGGCCACAUUGGGACUGAGACACGGCCCAAACUCCUACGGGAGGCAGCAGUAGGGAAUCUUCGGAAAUGGACGAAAGUCUGACCGAGCAACGCCGCGUGAGUGAAGAAGGUUUUCGGAUCGUAAAACUCUGUUGGUAGAGAAGAACGUUGGUGAGAGUGGAAAGCUCAUCAAGUGACGGUAACUACCCAGAAAGGGACGGCUAACUACGUG
rnacentral:rRNA from 1 species